rnacentral:rRNA from 1 species
UACGUAGGGUGCAAGCGUUGUCCGGAAUUAUUGGGCGUAAAGAGCUCGUAGGCGGUUUGUCGCGUCUGCUGUGAAAACGCGAGGCUCAACCUCGCGCCUGCAGUGGGUACGGGCAGACUAGAGUGCGGUAGGGGAGAUUGGAAUUCCUGGUGUAGCGGUGGAAUGCGCAGAUAUCAGGAGGAACACCAAUGGCGAAGGCAGCUUGCUGGGACGGUACUGACGCUGAGACGCGAAAGCGUGGGGAGCAAACAGGAUUAGAUACCCUAGUAGU